rnacentral:rRNA from 1 species
GAUGAACGCUGGCGGCGUGCCUAAUACAUGCAAGUCGAGCGAACGGACGAGAAGCUUGCUUCUCUGACGUUAGCGGCGGGCGGGUGAGUAACACGUGGAUAACCUACCUAUAAGACUGGGAUAACUUCGGGAAACCGGAGCUAAUACCGGAUAAUAUUUUGAACCGCAUGGUUCAAAAGUAAAAGACGGUCUUGCUGUCACUUAUAGAUGGAUCCGCGCUGCAUUAGCUAGUUGGUAAGGUAACGGCUUACCAAGGCAACGAUGCAUAGCCGACCUGAGAGGGUGAUCGGCCACACUGGAACUGAGACACGGUCCAGACUCCUACGGGAGGCAGCAGUAGGGAAUCUUCCGCAAUGGGCGAAAGCCUGACGGAGCAACGCCGCGUGAGUGAUGAAGGUCUUCGGAUCGUAAAACUCUGUUAUUAGGGAAGAACAUAUGUGUAAGUAACUGUGCACAUCUUGACGGUACCUAAUCAGAAAGCCACGGCUAACUACGUG